GCACCCUUGGUGUAUGGAAACACACAUCUCACAGUUGCUCUAGCACAAAAUAAUCAAGAUGAGUCCGGGGUUCGAAUCCCCGACGGUGCA